GAUGAAGAACGUAGCGAAAUGCGAUACGUAAUGUGAAUUGCAGAAUUCAGUGAAUCAUCGAGUCUUUGAACGCACAUUGCGCCCCCUGGUAUUCCGGGGGGCAUGCCUGUCCGAGCGUCAUUGCUGCCCUCAAGCACGGCUUGUGUGUUGGGCCUCCGUCCUCCUCCCGGGGGACGGGCCCGAAAGGCAGCGGCGGCACCGCGUCCGGUCCUCGAGCGUAUGGGGCUUCGUCACCCGCUCCGUAGGCCCGGCCGGCGCCCGCCGGCGACCCCCCUCAAUCUUUCCAGGUUGACCUCGGAUCAGGUAGGGAUACCCGCUGAACUUAAGCAUAUCAAUAAGCGGAGGA
rnacentral:misc_RNA from 1 species